UACGGGGGGGGCAAGCGUUGUUCGGAAUUACUGGGCGUAAAGGGCUUGUAGGUGGCCAACUAAGUCAGACGUGAAAUCCCUCGGCUUAACCGGGGAACUGCGUCUGAUACUGGAUGGCUUGAGUGUGGGAGAGGGAUGCGGAAUUCCAGGUGUAGCGGUGAAAUGCGUAGAUAUUGGGAGGAACACCAGUGGCGAAGGCGGCUCACUGGACCGGAACUGACGCUGAGGCGCGAAAGCGUGGGGAGCAAACAGG
rnacentral:rRNA from 1 species